rnacentral:lncRNA from 1 species
UUCUCCCAUCUCCAAGUUUAGAUCUCCUCAACCCUCGAUCUUCAAGAGGUAAGAGCCGAUCUUAAGCUCAAUGUAUGAUUUAAACAAGUUUUAUGAAGUUUUUAAGGGGUAGAAUGCAUGUUAGGUUAUAUGAUGAGUUAUGGGUUAAUGUGAUGUUUUGAACAAUGUAGCUUGUUUGUGUGUGAUUGAAGUGUUGUAGAUGGGGUAUUUGUAUGUUUGAGGCCCCUAGGAACUUGUAUGCAUGCUUUGGUUGAAAAAUAUGCAUGUUUGGAAAGGAUUGGAGGCGAGAUGUGUUAAGGGAGCCAAGUUUCUGCCCUUUGGCAGAAACCAGGUUCGGCAGCCGAAGGUACUUUCGGCCGCCGAACAUGGCUGGGAAGGCAGGCCUUUCGGCUGCCGAAGUUGCCCCCGAAAAGAGACUUUUGUCUCUGUCUGGCACUUUCGGCCGCCGAAGGUGCCGCCGAACCUAGCUGAGUUUCGUCUCUGUCCAGGACUUUCGGCCGCCGAAGGUGCCGCCGAAAGUGCCCUGUUCAGCCAUUUCAUGCAUAUUUUCUGUGAUAUUUUCAGGAUGUUUUAGGGGGGUUUUUGGGGAGUAGUUUAGAGUUAUGUUCUAGUAUGUUUGGUCCCUCAUUUGAGUCCACCUGUGUAGGUUCGGACCCGAGGAACCGAGGACCCCAGCAGUGAGUUCAGCUGCGGUUUUGUCAGAGUCAGCCAGAGGUGAGUGGAACUAAACUAAAUCUUUUAAAUUAAAUGUUUUAUCAUGUUUCAUGCAUCAUGUUUAUACAAUAGGAUGAUUGCAUUAGUUUUCACGAAUAUGUCGCAUUGCAUAAAUUGUUGUUGAUGUGGGUGAAUGUUGGAUGACCCAAUUAGUCCAAGACAGGAAGACCAGGACCCCAUGCUACGGCCUGGCACAGAGUAAGAAAGACCAGGCCCCAGUCUACAGGCCUGGCACAGAGUAAGGUACGGUUAUGGGACUCGAAGACCAGGAGCCCAGAGGAGGCCCUGGAAAAUGGUAAGUAAUGUAUGUUAUCACAGGAAGACCAGGCCCCAUUCUACAGGCCUGGCACAGAGUUAACUUGGACUAUUUGGUGACAAGUUCACCCAACCCUUAUGUGAAUUGUCUGUGUUAUGAUGCAUUCCAUUUGAGCAUAGUGUUAAUGUGUUUUACUAGCUCUACUCACUGGGCUUUUAGCUCACCCCUCUCCCUUUACCCCCAGGCUUGCAGGUUCAGUAUAGUGUGGGAGUCCGGAUAGAGUAAAGAAGUUAUGCCUUUGUAAUAGCUAGUAAUGGACAUGAUCAAAAUUGUAAUGUAAAAGUACAGUAUAGUUAUGUAAUGAGUUUUAUGGAUGUUAGUGUGUGCUUGACCAUAGAAUGUUGUAUCCCUUUUUCUACAUGAUCUUAGAGAUUCAUAUGAUGUUUAUGUAAACCAGCUCAACACAGGUUAUGUUACCCCUUGAGGGCACAGAUGAGAUCCCACAGAGGGAUCAAUGUUAUAUUCAUGUUUAUGUACAGGUUGAGUUUGGUUGAUGAGUAUGCAAAGGAAAGUUUUAAUUUUUAUGCUUAUUGUUGAUCAUGUAUGGGAUUAUACAGGUUUACAGGUCUUAUGUUAGGCUUGCUACGGGUCCCGGC